GACGAACGCUGGCGGCGUGCUUAACACAUGCAAGUCGAGCGGUAAGGCCCUUUCGGGGUACACGAGCGGCGAACGGGUGAGUAACACGUGGGUGACCUGCCUUUAGCUCUGGGAUAAGCCUGGGAAACUGGGUCUAAUACCGGAUAUGACUCCAUGAUGCAUGUUGUGGGGUGGAAAGCCUUGUGCGGCUGGAGAUGGGCCCGCGGCCUAUCAGCUUGUUGGUGGGGUGANGGCCUACCAAGGCGACGACGGGUAGCCGGCCUGAGAGGGCGACCGGCACACUGGGACUGAGACACGGCCCAGACUCCUACGGGAGGCAGCAGUGGGGAAUCUUGCGCAAUGGGCGAAAGCCUGACGCAGCGACGCCGCGUGAGGGAUGACGGCCU
rnacentral:rRNA from 1 species